GUCCCAUAAUGAAGGCCUUGCACCUUCAAGCAAGGGGCCUGGGCAUUAUCUGGAGAGGAGAGGGGAGCCUUGCAACAGAUUAGGGCUGGGCUCAGCUCUUGGAGGUGAGCCCUCGUCUCCUGGUUUCUCAGCUAAGCCUGUGGUUAUGUCUGGUUCAGCCUGAAGGAUGAGCCGGUCUGGGGUCUGGCAGCUUUGGCCAUGGAAGUUUUCUGGCCCCUGGGUUUGGCUGCUGAGCCAGAGUUUUUCUCUUGCUGGGCCAUAUCCCCAACUUCGUGUCCAGCGGCUCUGCAGAAAAAUGUCUCCGCCUCGUCCAUGACCUUCCGCCCUCUCACUGUCAGACCUUCCUGCCAGCGGCCAGGGACCUUUUCUGUCCACAUCUUGCCAGCCUGGCGGGCUGUGUGUAUGACCAGUCAGUGCAGAACUGCAUGGGCUUUCUCCCAAGUCCCUCCGGGCCUGAGCCAGCCUAGUGAGGAGGAGACUCAGGGCCCCCUAGGGCAGCCCCCUGAACCCACUCAUCAAGACCAGCACUGGCUUGGCCGGGAGAACAGUGCUCUGAGCAUCUGGGGUAGCACCCUCCGCCUCCACCACAUCAUCAUUUGGUCACACCUGCCUGUGAGCUUCCAGGACCACAUUUUUUUUUUUUUUUUUUUUUUGGUACGCGGGCCUUUCACUGUUGUGGCCUCUCCCAUUGCGGAGCACAGGCUCCGGACGCGCAGGCUCAGCGGCCAUGGCUCACGGGCCCAGCCGCUCCGUGGCACGUGGGAUCCUCCCAGACCGGGGCACGAACCCAAGUCCCCUGCAUCGGCAGGCAGACUCUCAACCACUGCGCCACCAGGGAAGCCCCAGGACCACAUUUAUUCCCGGUCAUGGGCCCAGAUCCCACGGUUCAGAGCUUGGAAGGCUCUUAGAAAUCAGGGCCCGGCCGUUAUCGAUCAGAUGGAGAGACUGAGGCUUAUGGAGGGGAAGCGUCUUUCAGAGUCACCCCUCUUGAGAGAGCUUCUGUUCGGAAGAGUCCAAAGUCAGGCAGACAUCCCAGAGACCAGAGGGGAGCACGGCCCAAGGUGGGGUGAGUGGGCGAGGCCGUGUGACGUGGGCUCUGGAGUCAGGCAGACCGGACCCCAGCUCAGCCACCUUUUCUCUUUGAGACCUGGGAACACACCCACUGUGUGUCAGGCACCUGGCGUGUCUGAGCCACCUGCCUGUCGAGGUGCUUGGCUGCAUGAAGGGCUUGGCCUGUUGCCUGGUGCUUGGUAGGCACCGCUGGUAACUGUCAGGGUGGCCUGGAGAGGAAGAGGCAGUGGGUCUAAUGAAGAGAGCUUGUUCUAGAGCCUAGGCCUGGG
rnacentral:lncRNA from 1 species